rnacentral:rRNA from 1 species
UACGUAGGAUGCGAGCGUUGUCCGGAUUUAUUGGGCGUAAAGAGCUCGUAGGCGGCUUGUUGCGUCGACCGUGAAAACCCGGGGCUCAACUUCGGGCUUGCGGUCGAUACGGGCGGGCUAGAGUUCGGUAGGGGAGACUGGAAUUCCUGGUGUAGCGGUGAAAUGCGCAGAUAUCAGGAGGAACACCGGUGGCGAAGGCGGGUCUCUGGGCCGAUACUGACGCUGAGGAGCGAAAGCGUGGGGAGCGAACAGG